ACGACCGUAGCUCAAUUGGCGAAAGCACCGAGUACUAAUCUGGAGGUGGCGGGUUCGAAUUCCGCCGGCUGUC
rnacentral:tRNA from 1 species